rnacentral:tRNA from 1 species
AAGAAGGUGACAGAGUGGUUAUGUGGUCGGCUUGAAACUGAUAUACGGGGGUUCAAUUCCUUCCCUUCUCG